ensembl:rRNA 5S_rRNA 5S ribosomal RNA
CCAUGUUCCACUCUGAACAUGCCUGAUCUCCUCUGAUCUCAGAAGCUAAGAAGGGCUGGGCCUGGUAAUUACUUGGA